UACGGAGGGGGCUAGCGUUGUUCGGAAUUACUGGGCGUAAAGCGCACGUAGGCGGCUUUGCAAGUCAGAGGUGAAAGCCCGGGGCUCAACCCCGGAAUUGCCUUUGAGACUGCAUCGCUAGAAUUGUGGAGAGGUAAGUGGAAUUCCGAGUGUAGAGGUGAAAUUCGUAGAUAUUCGAAAGAACACCAGUGGCGAAGGCGACUUACUGGACACAUAUUGACGCUGAGGUGCGAAAGCGUGGGGAGCAAACAGG
rnacentral:rRNA from 1 species